UACGUGAGGGGCGAACGUUGUUCGGUGUCACUGGGCUUACAGGGUGCGUAGGUGGUUGCGUAAGUAAGGUGUGAAAGCCCUCGGCUUACCCGGGGAAUUGCGCCUUAUACUGCGUGACUUGAGGAUUUCAGGGGAAUGGGGAACUCCAGGUGUAGCGGUGAAAUGCGCAGAUAUCUGGGGGAAGGCCGGCGGCGAAGGCGCCAUUCUGGGAAAUUCCUGACACUGAGGCACGAAAGCGUGGGGAGCAAACAGG
rnacentral:rRNA from 1 species